UACGUAGGGGGCUAGCGUUGUCCGGAAUCAUUGGGCGUAAAGCGCGUGUAGGCGGUUCGGUAAGUCCGCUGUGAAAGUCGGGGGCUCAACCCUCGGAUGCCGGUGGAUACUGUCGGACUAGAGUACGGAAGAGGCGAGUGGAAUUCCUGGUGUAGCGGUGAAAUGUACAGAUAUCAGGAGGAACACCGAUUGCGAAGGCAGCUCGCUGGGACGUUACUGACGCUGAGACGCGAAAGCGUGGGGAGCAAACAGG
rnacentral:rRNA from 1 species